CUAUAAUGCAGUCGAGCGGACAGAUGGGAGCUUGCUCCCUGAUGUUAGCGGCGGACGGGUGAGUAACACGUGGGUAACCUGCCUGUAAGACUGGGAUAACUCCGGGAAACCGGGGCUAAUACCGGAUGGUUGUUUGAACCGCAUGGUUCAAACAUAAAAGGUGGCUUCGGCUACCACUUACAGAUGGACCCGCGGCGCAUUAGCUAGUUGGUGAGGUAACGGCUCACCAAGGCAACGAUGCGUAGCCGACCUGAGAGGGUGAUCGGCCACACUGGGACUGAGACACGGCCCAAACUCCUACGGGAGGCAGCAGUAGGGAAUCUUCCGCAAUGGACGAAAGUCUGACGGAGCAACGCCGCGUGAGUGAUGAAGGUUUUCGGAUCGUAAAGCUCUGUUGUUAGGGAAGAACAAGUACCGUUCGAAUAGGGCGGUACCUUGACGGUACCUAACCAGAAAGCCACGGCUAACUACGUGCCAGCAGCCGCGGUAAUACGUAGGUGGCAAGCGUUGUCCGGAAUUAUUGGGCGUAAAGGGCUCGCAGGCGGUUUCUUAAGUCUGAUGUGAAAGCCCCCGGCUCAACCGGGGAGGGUCAUUGGAAACUGGGGAACUUGAGUGCAGAAGAGGAGAGUGGAAUUCCACGUGUAGCGGUGAAAUGCGUAGAGAUGUGGAGGAACACCAGUGGCGAAGGCGACUCUCUGGUCUGUAACUGACGCUGAGGAGCGAAAGCGUGGGGAGCGAACAGGAUUAGAUACCCUGGUAGUCCACGCCGUAAACGAUGAGUGCUAAGUGUUAGGGGGUUUCCGCCCCUUAGUGCUGCAGCUAACGCAUUAAGCACUCCGCCUGGGGAGUACGGUCGCAAGACUGAAACUCAAAGGAAUUGACGGGGGCCCGCACAAGCGGUGGAGCAUGUGGUUUAAUUCGAAGCAACGCGAAGAACCUUACCAGGUCUUGACAUCCUCUGACAAUCCUAGAGAUAGGACGUCCCCUUCGGGGGCAGAGUGACAGGUGGUGCAUGGUUGUCGUCAGCUCGUGUCGUGAGAUGUUGGGUUAAGUCCCGCAACGAGCGCAACCCUUGAUCUUAGUUGCCAGCAUUCAGUUGGGCACUCUAAGGUGACUGCCGGUGACAAACCGGAGGAAGGUGGGGAUGACGUCAAAUCAUCAUGCCCCUUAUGACCUGGGCUACACACGUGCUACAAUGGACAGAACAAAGGGCAGCGAAACCGCGAGGUUAAGCCAAUCCCACAAAUCUGUUCUCAGUUCGGAUCGCAGUCUGCAACUCGACUGCGUGAAGCUGGAAUCGCUAGUAAUCGCGGAUCAGCAUGCCGCGGUGAAUACGUUCCCGGGCCUUGUACACACCGCCCGUCACACCACGAGAGUUUGUAACACCCGAAGUCGGUGAGGUAACCUUUAGGAGCCAGCCGCCGAA
rnacentral:rRNA from 1 species